CGCGACGGCGUCGACGGCCUCCUUCUCUCCCCGUCAACAUCUCGCGCCGCCGUGUCGACGCCAAUCCCGCGCGCCUACCGGUCUGGCAUCCUGGGCAGCCAGAACCAGAUGGUAGUUGCAAAAGGGCUCACGGCUCUCCGUACAUGCCGGCCACGUAGCUAUACCGUUCGGAUGUGGGUGGGAAGACCACGGCGCCCUUGUCGUCGAGCCCUGUCUUCUACGAGUGCGGCCGUCCUGCACGCAGCGGCAGAUGCACGCAGCGCAUCGACGGCCCUGCUGCGCGAGGUGAUCCGUGCAAAAGAAAACGCCAGAUUCAGUAAAGCGUGCAUACAUAGCUGGAUACAAGCAAAUACAUCCCCUAAGUCGGCCCUUGUGGACUCGCCGAGGUACGUUCGGUCAUACGAUUGGGCCGGUCCGGUCAGAAAGUGCAGGGCGCACAUUAUUGCAUUUUGGCUCGCGGGCCCUGGCUUCGGCUGGGUGGCGUGUACCCAGAUUGGACGCAUGACGGCCGCUCUCAGGUCCUACAUCUAGCACGGGAUCCCUUUUCGGAUUUGGGGGGAGGACUACGGCGAGCCGGAGGCAGUGGGUCAGGCUCUGCUCAUGGCGAUUCCAGCUGCGGAGGCGCCGGCGCUCGACUCUGGAUCGACGUCGACUGCCAACGAUUCAGCAGCGUGCUUGGGGGCUUCCGUUACGGCCGGUGGCGGCGCCGCGGCGGCCGCGUCAGGAGUAGGCUCGCCGGAAUCGGUCGUCCGCCCGUUCUCUCCUGAUACGCGUCGGUCAGAUGAGGGUGGGGCAUAGCCGGCGGCGGAGAAGGCUUUAUCUGAUGUUGAGUUCUCCGGGGGGGUCCUGCACCAUGUUCAGCUCGGGCGGUGGCGAUGUGGCUGUCGGACGCGCCCAUGGCGCGGCGCCGCCCGUCGUCUCGCGCGGCUCGAUUCAGUCCUUACCCCACGGUGCGCAAGCAUCCGCAAACACCACCAUCCGAGUUGGCUGGAAGCGCAGGCCAAGAGGGCCGCAAGCACCAGACGAGCGGGCGGCGGUGGUUGAUCGUGUGCCGGUACUUGAAGCUGCCAUACGAGGGUUCGCUGACAGGGGGACUGAUGUGGUUGUCAACCCGGUGCUUGGCACAAUUUUCGAUUCUAUGCCGGAGGUGUAUGAAUUCUACAAUCUUAUUCUCGUCGCUGGUUAAUUUCCCUGGUUAAUUUUCGUUGACAAAAGAGCUUGAAUUGCUAGUAAAAAUAACCACCGGAGUUGCAUGAUUAGGUUCUUUCUGUCCAAUAUUAUUCUCGUCGCUGUUUCUCUGUUGGGAUGGUGACAUUUUUUAGUGUUCAAACAUUGCAAAGGGAAAGCUAUACUUCGAUAUAAUCCAAUUGUAGAAGUUUGGUGAAUUUCGUGCAGCAGUCUGAAUGUAGAGUGGAGCCUUGGCGCAGUGGUAAAGCUGCUGCCUUGUGACCAUGAGGUCAUGGGUUUAAGUCCUGGAAACAGCCUCUUACAGAAAUGUAGGGAAAGGCUGCGUACUAUAGACCCAAAGUGGUCGGACCCUUCCCUGGACCCUGCGCAAGCGGGAGCUACAUGCACCAGGUUGCCCUUUUUUUUUUAGUCUGAAUGUAGAGUGGGGGAGGGAAUAUAUUCUGGAUCAGGCUUGGCAGAAAAUGGUCCUUACUCGUUUUCUUAAUCAUGACCCGUUUUCUUAAUCAUGACCCGGUGUUCGGUUACAGUAGUACGCGUGCCCCGGCAUUAUGUACACUGGUUAUUUUUCAUUGACCAAAAAAAUGUACAUCUUCCAUGGCGCGUCCGAUACCAAACAUCACGUUGCUCCCACCUCCGGCCGCCUUGAUGAGAAGGUUGAUGCCAACGCUGGUGAUCCCACAACCAAAAGUCGCACGGGCCUCCGUCCUGGGUCAGUUUCAAAACUGAAUAAUGAACAAAAAAAUACAAAGCAAACAGCAGAAAACUGCAACAUCUGAUGGAUGGGUGUACAGAUAACAGACUUACCCCUGGUUCGGGCACUUGUAAAAACGGACGCCGGGAUUCCGGUCUAUCCCGGAGACAAACCAUCUAGUCCUCGUCCCGGCACACCUCGGGCACAGGAUCAAUGGCAGCGGGGGCAGGGGUGUCCGGAGACGACGAGCGGAAGAUGAGCUCUGGGACAUCGCGGCACGGCGACGUCAACGGAUCGCAGCAACUCGGGUGCUUGUGUGCGUGUUUGAAGCAAAACGAUCGGUCCUGCACGCAGCGGCUGGUGCAUGAGCCUUAAAUACAUGCAGCUGGGUGAAGUGUUUACUUUAUAUAGUGUUCGGUGCAACGGUAAUAUUGUGUCCUUUCGCCUGUACUAUACAUAUGCAGUGCUUGCAGCAGAUGAGUCAGUCCGGCUGUCAGUGCAUAGUACAACGGAUAAAACGAAUACGAAACAUUACGCUAGUUGGCGGUGCUCUAUACUCGAAGUAGCACUUCCAGCUAGUCCUAAUCGCGAUGCUCCGCCAGCCGUGGAUGCGCUGCGUGCAGCGAUGGACUUCUCUGUCUUCUACCCCACUCAAACUGCGCUGAGCACAGUCGCGCUGCUGCCUCGUCGAUCUCCAUGGCAGGCCACCCCAGGCCGAUAGGUAAUGCACCAAUGUAGCCAAUUAAUCUCUGAAUUUCCAAAGUGUAGAAUACUUCUUUUCAUACCUUCAUAUUUUUGGAGAAUACAAUGUUGUUCUGAAGUACCACCAGGCUAGUUCAGAAAACUGGUAUCAGUUAUUUGCGCAAUGUAUUCACAUAUGCCUCUUCUACUGUACAAUGUUCUUUUUUCUUGUGAGCUAUUGAUCGCAAUGUUUGACUAAAAUGGAUUCAAGGAUAUACAUAAGCAUAUGAAUGCAGACAUACAGAUGCAUUAUCCGGAAAAAGAAAGAUUCAGAAUAUUAGAGAUGCCAUCUGUUGAAGCUAGACAUAAGUACCUGAAAUACAUUGGAGCCAUGCUCUUCAUGAUAUAAUAGACAGCUAUGUAUCAUCUUCCAGACACAACUAAGAUUUAUUUGCUAAACAAGCAGGGCAUUACUCAAGUGAGCUGAUGAAGAGGAAUCCAGAGGCGUGGGAUUUGCACUGUGUAUCAUUUUAAGCAUGGUUGGCCGCAUCGUUGGCUCCUCUUGAAAGCACAUGUACUACUUGCACCAAGAGCAAGAAUUUAACAGUAGAAAAGCCGUAUCAACUAUAUGUAUGCCCCAAUGCGAUCAACAA